rnacentral:ncRNA from 1 species
ACUCACGCGGGAGGCGAUGACGCGCGGUCCACAUCCCGGCCGCCCCGGACCGCGCCGAGCCACUGGCGAGACCGCCCCGCGCCCGA